rnacentral:rRNA from 1 species
UGCCCGGUAGCUAAAUGCGGAAGAGAUAAGUGCUGAAAGCAUCUAAGCACGAAACUUGCCCCGAGAUGAGUUCUCCCUGAGACUAUAAGUCUCCUGAAGGAACGUUAAAGACGAUGACGUUGAUAGGUCGGGUGUGUAAGUGUAGCGAUACAUUGAGCUAACCGAUACUAAUGAACCGUGAGGCUUAACCUU